GUGAAGCUACAUCACGCUAGCUAACGCUAGAUUUCGAUAUAACAGAAAAGUAGCUAUAACAGUAAGCUAUAAAUAUCACACGGAGCUUAUUUGAAUGAAAAUCAUUCAAUGGCUAAUUGCUUCAAUGUCAUGUUAUGAAAUGAUACACAUACUUGCCAGCCUUUGAUAGCAAGUCCUCAAACUGCUGCGAGGAUGUUGCCUCCACUAAAGUCGCCAUGUUUUCAGACGUGUGUAAUCGCUCACCGAGUGAUUGUGUUCUAUGUGGAUUUCCAGCNNNNNNNNNNNNNNNNNNNNNNNNNNNNNNNNNNNNNNNNNNNNNNNNNNNNNNNNNNNNNNNNNNGUUCCCCACGAAGUGCACUAUAUAGUGGAGAGGGUGCCAUUUGGAAUGCUACCAUCAUGUAAACUGUUUAUUCCGUAAAGAUUACCUGUGUCACAUAAUGAGUCUCUUCUCAGGGCCACAUUAACCACAUCAUGGGGUAUUGAUCGGUUAUCGUCAUGAUCAGAGAUCGUUUGAAGACCUGAAGGAUCCUUGAGGAUGAAGAGAAUGAUCGAUUGAUUGAGUGCUUGAUCAAGCCAUUGUGUAUGUGGCUGUGAACCGUUUUAUCAGUGUGCCUUGCCUUUUCUAGCUNNNNNNNNNNAGGUGUAAUAAUCUUCCACAACCAUGGAAUAUAUGACAGCCCUCCAGAAGAAGAGACGCCACGAAGGAGACCUUCAAACCCGGAAAGAUUGCCAAGCGAAACGACUGUGCAACGGAGCGGGAGUCUGCGUCCAGGUUGAACAUGGCGGGAUGGUGACUGACGGUGCCAUGGAUGCCAGCAUGCAACAGCAGGGUGUCCCAAACAGCGGUGUCGGCAUCAACCACCCAGCUUCUAACAUGGUCUAUGCAGUCCAAGGCAGCCAACGUUGUAAUCGGUGCCUGGCAGGAGAGCCCGGCCACAUUAACCACAUCAUGGGGUAUUGAUCGGUUAUCGUCAUGAUCAGAGAUCGUUUGAAGACCUGAAGGAUCCUUGAGGAUGAAGAGAAUGAUCGAUUGAUUGAGUGCUUGAUCAAGCCAUUGUGUAUGUGGCUGUGAACCGUUUUAUCAGUGUGCCUUGCCUUUUCUAGCUGUUAUUAACCACAAACACUGUACUGCUUCAUGUACAGCCUCGCAUGUUUCCACUACCUAACACUGGUAUGGGGGAAAUGGCUACUAACCAGACAGUAGACAUGAUGAUUUCAUACCGUCUCACUAACAUUCUGUUUGAAUGGAAAGAUAACCACUACAGUGUAGUCUACACACAACCAUAAGGAAGGAGCCAUCAAGCCACAAUUAAUACUGUAACUUUACACUGUAAUGUGGAUACUCCUUUAAAGUCAAUGGAUGUGUUUUUAAAAAAUAAAAAUAAAUACUUAUUGUCCCAGUAUCAAGACUGCUUUCUAAAGCUGCCAGAAAAUAUACAUGUAAAUAGUAAUAUUGAUAAGUAAAAACUUUUUAAAGUUAUAAUUGUUAACCUUUUUUUAAAUGGAUAAUCCUGUCUGCAAAUAUAUUUUUGUGAAAUAAAUAUUUUAUAUAUUUUUCUAAAAUGUAAUUGGCUGAAUAUAAAAUAAGAAGUUUGGUAACUAAUAUUUGUGCUAAUCGUUUAAUUUUGGAUAGUGUCCUGAAAUGUGUUAAUCUCAUGAACGUUUUCAGCCGGUUUUCAAUGGUUUGAUCUACACUUGAAAUGUUGAGCCGUUUUGACAAUGAUUUGUCUGUUUCCCACUAGAUUUGGUUUUGUGUCGUCUUAGAAUGAUUUGUCUGUUUCCCACUAGAUUUGGUUUUGUGUCGUCUUAGAAUGAUUUGUCUGUUUCCCACUAGAUUUGGUUUUGUGUCGUCUUAGAAUGAUUUGUCUGUUUCCCACUAGAUUUGGUUUUGUGUCGUCUUAGAAUGAUUUGUCUGUUUCCCACUAGAUUUGGUUUUGUGUCGUCUUAGAAUGAUUUGUCUGUUUCCCACUAGAUUUGGUUUUGUGUCGUCUUAGAAUGAUUUGUCUGUUUCCCACUAGAUUUGGUUUUGUGUCG
rnacentral:lncRNA from 13 species